GACAGAGGUGCCGAGCGUUAGGCGGAAUCACUGGGCUUAAAGCGUGUGUAGGCGGGCGAUCAAGUACCUUGUGAAAUCCCUCGGCUCAACCAAGGAAGUGCAUCCGAAACUGCUGAGCUUGAGUACUUAAGAGGAUCGCGGAAUUCCCGGUGUAGAGGUGAAAUUCGUAGAUAUCGGGAGGAACACCAGUGGCGAAGGCGGCGAUCUGGGAAGAUACUGACGCUGAGGUGCGAAAGCGUGGGGAGCAAACAGG
rnacentral:rRNA from 1 species